rnacentral:rRNA from 1 species
CCUACGGGGGGCAGCAGUCGAGAAUCAUUCACAAUGGGGGAAACCCUGAUGGUGCGACGCCGCGUGGGGGAAUGAAGGUCUUCGGAUUGUAAACCCCUGUCAUGUGGGAGCAAAUUAAAAAGAUAGUACCACAAGAGGAAGAGACGGCUAACUCUGUGCCAGCAGCCGCGGUAAUACAGAGGUCUCAAGCGUUGUUCGGAAUCACUGGGCGUAAGGCGUGCGUAGGCUGUUUCGUAAGUCGUGUGUGAAAGGCGCGGGCUCAACCCGCGGACGGCACAUGAUACUGCGAGACUAGAGUAAUGGAGGGGGAACCGGAAUUCUCGGUGUAGCAGUGAAAUGCGUAGAUAUCGGGAGGAACACUCGUGGCGAAGGCGGGUUCCUGGACAUUAACUGACGCUGAGGCACGAAGGCCAGGGGAGCGAAAGGGAUUAGAUACCCGAGUAGUC